rnacentral:misc_RNA from 1 species
UAUUACUGAGUGGCAUAUAAUCAAUUUCUUCAGUACCACACCAUCUGAAUCUCCUCUUCUUGAAGACUUCAGCAGUCAACUUUCAUCUUUACAGCUUGAUGGAAAUGUUGAUCGGAGAUCAUGGAAUGAGAAACUUGGUAAAUCUGAAUUCACAUUGGCCUUUAUUCUGUUACUUGGAGGUCGUAGUGGGCCAUCUUUUGGACAUCUUCCUGAUCCCAACAGUCUAAGUAAAUCAGUACAAGAAUUUGCUAGCUGGAUAAUGUGGGGGAGAACAGAAGCAG